AUGACAUCAUAAAACACGCUGGUGGCAUCAGGAAGCAUCCACAGGUCAUCAAUCAGCCCUGAGGCUGGCCUCCCCACUGGGGGCCCCAGCCCACCCGGCACCGAGCCCGGAGUUUACGAGCAGGCCCCCGCACCGGCUCCUUAGACAGAGGGAAGACGAACAGCCCAGCAAAUGUCAGGGAGAAUGUGUCAAUCACCACCUGAAAGUUAAGGCAUUCUAUCUCCAAGAGGGUCCUAUUGAAAUGCAACUAUGCUACUUGCUAGGCAGCAGUUCAUGUGAAAGAGACUGGGGAUUUUCAGUGGCCUCAAAGCUCAAUUCGCCCCUCUGCCCCCCACAUCAUUAAAAUUGUUUUAUUGA